rnacentral:rRNA from 1 species
GCCGUCCCAGUUCGGAUCGCAGGCUGCAACCCGCCUGCGUGAAGUUGGAAUCGCUAGUAAUCGCGGAUCAGCAUGCCGCGGUGAAUACGUUCCCGGGCCUUGUACACACCGCCCGUCACACCAUGAGAGUCGGGAACACCCGAAGUCCGUAGCCUAACCGCAAGGGGGGCGCGGCCGAAGGUGGGUUCGAUAAUUGGGGUGAAGUCGUAACAAGGUAGC